rnacentral:rRNA from 1 species
GACGAACGCUGGCGGCGUGCUUAACACAUGCAAGUCGAACGGAAAGGCCCUGCUUGCAGGGUACUCGAGUGGCGAACGGGUGAGUAACACGUGGGUGAUCUGCCCUGCACUUCGGGAUAAGCCUGGGAAACUGGGUCUAAUACCGGAUAUGACCUUCCAUGUAGUGUGGGGGGCGGAAAGAUUUAUCGGUGUGGGAUGAGCCCGCGGCCUAUCAGCUUGUUGGUGGGGUAAUGGCCUACCAAGGCGUCGACGGGUAGCCGGCCUGAGAGGGUGGACGGCCACAUUGGGACUGAGAUACGGCCCAGACUCCUACGGGAGGCAGCAGUGGGGAAUAUUGCACAAUGGGCGGAAGCCUUAUGCAGCGACGCCGCGUGGGGGAUGACGGCCUUCGGGUUGUAAACCUCUUUCGACAGGGACGAAGCUUCGGUGACGGUACCUGUAUAAGAAGCACCGGCUAACUACGUG